rnacentral:tRNA from 1 species
GCCGAAGUGGCGGAACAGGCAUACGCGCGCGACUCAAAAUCGCGUGAGGGUGACCUCAUGUGGGUUCGAUUCCCACCUUCGGCA